CCUACGGGAGGCAGCAGUGAGGAAUAUUGGUCAAUGGCCGGAAGGCUGAACCAGCCAUGCCGCGUGAAGGUCAGUGCCCUAUGGGCGUUAAACUUCUUUUGUGCGGGAGCAAUAAUGGUCACGUGUGGCCAGACGAGAGUACCGUACGAAUAAGCAUCGGCUAACUCCGUGCCAGCAGCCGCGGUAAUACGGGGGAUGCAAGCGUUAUCCGGAUUUAUUGGGUUUAAAGGGUGCGUAGGCUGGGAGGUAAGUCAGCGGUGAAAUGCCCCCGCUCAACGGGGUGAAGUGCCAUUGAUACUGCCUGGCUGGAAUGCGGAUGCCGUGGGAGGAAUGUGUGGUGUAGCGGUGAAAUGCAUAGAUAUCACACAGAACACCGAUUGCGAAGGCAUCUCACGGAUCCGCGAUUGACGCUGAUGCACGAAAGCGUGGGUAUCAAACAGGAUUAGAUACCCCAGUAGUC
rnacentral:rRNA from 1 species